rnacentral:rRNA from 1 species
UUCUUUUAGAUAAAAUUAAAAGUAAAACCUGCUCAAUGCAAAUUAUAUAUAUAUAUAUAUACACAUAUAAACAGCCGCAGAAUAUUUACUGUGCUAAGGUAGCAUAAUCAUUUGUCUUUUAAUUAAAGACUAGUAUGAAAGGUUAAACGAGUAAAAAACUAAUUAAUUAAUAAAAAAAAAAUUAAAAUAGUUAUAAAAAUAUUACUAUACAAAAAAAAGACGACAAGACCCUAUUGAACUUUACAAUAUUUGUUAGACUGGGGAAGUUAAUUAACUAAAUUUUAAAAACAAUACUAGUAAAUAUAAUACCCAAUACAAUUGAAAUAAAAAUAAGUUACCAUAGGGAUAACAGCACAAUAUUUAUUAAAAGUUCCAAUUAAAAUAAAAAAUUGUGACCUCGAUGUUGAAUAUUAAUCUAAAUAACGCAAAAGUUAUAACUUUUAUUAGAAAGUCUGUUCGACUUAUAAAAAUUUACA